rnacentral:rRNA from 1 species
UACAGAGGUCUCAAGCGUUGUUCGGAUUCAUUGGGCGUAAAGGGUGCGUAGGUGGCCAGGUAAGUCGGAUGUGAAAUCCCGGGGCUCAACCCCGGAACUGCAUUCGAUACUGGAUGGCUUGAAUUCGGGAGAGGGAUGCAGAAUUCCAGGUGUAGCGGUGAAAUGCGUAGAUAUCUGGAGGAAUACCGGUGGCGAAGGCGGCAUCCUGGACCGACAUUGACGCUGAACGGCGAAAGCUAGGGGAGCAAACGGG